rnacentral:misc_RNA from 1 species
CGAUCGAACACGUUCUGCGCCUCUCCUCGGCACCGACGUCAAAGCCACCCCCGAUGGCUGCAACGCACUGGUGCACUUGGUGGUCCUUCCUUUUUCGUGUGAUAUUAUACCAGCAUCUGUGAUGCCAUUUCAAAGACCGCAAUCAAAGCAUUAAAUGCCAGAUUAAAGCGACGCGAUAAUAUUACCCCAAUAUUCGUCCGUAAAUGUUACCGUAUAGAUGUUUAAUUAAGCAUUAUUAUGCUUCGAAUAAUUUACUAUCACAUGUUCCACAAGAAAACAUAUGUUUCACUUUUCCCCGUGGCGUAAAAUGUCAAAUUAAAAGUACCAAAUUAAAAACAUAUGGUAUCCCGAAACCAAACGUACGACAUGGCGAAUCACGAUGAUACGAUAAAAAUUGAUCUAUGUCUUGAUUUAUUCAAACAGAACGAACUUACUCGAACUUUUCCAGAAUAAACGAUUUAUCCGAUAAUAUCCGUCACCAGCUUCUCUUCCUUCAACGGUAACAACUGACACCGAAAGCUCGAGAGACCCGAACGGUGAGACGUACCCAGAAGCAAUGCAGUUACCUGGGCAAAGAGUCCCAAAGACCAAGGACGUAGGAAAUUUCGAGAAACGGAAAUGGAAACUGGAGUGGCGCGUCAAUCAGCACUGACGGAAACUAAUAAAAAUGGAAAAAACCAAACUAAUUCGUUUCACAAAUUAUUAAAACGAUAUUAUUCAAAAUUUCACUCGAUUUUCUCACUGCACACCUCAAUAUUUGUCGAAAUAUCAAUAUUAAACAGUUAAUAAAAAAAAAUAUCCUCUUUCUUCAUACCUGUCUUUCUCCCGGGCGGCGAAGGAAUACUAGAAUGUUCGAGAACAACGGAUACUUUUUGAUUUUAUCUCAAUAUCAAUUUCAAUCUUUUUAAACGAAAUAUAAUCUGAACGAUGAAACGUUUGAUCAAAUAAUGUUCUUCGUUCGAUGCUAAAGGAAAUUGAGAAGAAACAUCGAAAAUUCGUUAAUAAAACGAAUUUCUUUGUUUCUGUUAGAUAAUAAACUUGAUAUACGUAUUGGUUUUUAAAAUCAAUAUAGCUAACCAAUGGGCACACUUUUAACAAGGGUGAUGGAACAUACCAAAAAUCUUUCAAGAUGGUCUUGGCAACGGAAGAGUCGAAAAUAUGACAAUUAUGAAUGAAAAAUUCUAAUAUUUUACAGCUGGCAACGAUAAACAACUCCAGAUAUUCUCCUAAUUAAUUUACAACAAAUUCGCGUAUAUGAUCGAUAGCUGACGUCACUGUCUGUGUCCCACAGCCCUUGUAA